rnacentral:rRNA from 1 species
UACGAAGGGGGCUAGCGUUGUACGGAAUCACUGGGCGUAAAGCGCACGUAGGCGGAUCUUUAAGUCAGGGGUGAAAUCCCGGGGCUCAACCUCGGAACUGCCUUUGAUACUGGGGAUCUCGAGUCCGGGAGAGGUGAGUGGAACUGCGAGUGUAGAGGUGAAAUUCGUAGAUAUUAGGAAGAACACCAGUGGCGAAGGCGGCUCACUGGUCCGGUACUGACGCUGAGGUGCGAAAGCGUGGGGAGCAAACAGGG